UACGAAGGGGGCUAGCGUUGCUCGGAAUUACUGGGCGUAAAGGGAGCGUAGGCGGAUAGUUUAGUCAGAGGUGAAAGCCCAGGGCUCAACCUUGGAAUUGCCUUUGAUACUGGCUAUCUUGAGUACGGAAGAGGUAUGUGGAACUCCGAGUGUAGAGGUGAAAUUCGUAGAUAUUCGGAAGAACACCAGUGGCGAAGGCGACAUACUGGUCCGUUACUGACGCUGAGGCUCGAAAGCGUGGGGAGCAAACGGG
rnacentral:rRNA from 1 species